rnacentral:rRNA from 1 species
GAUGAACGCUGGCGGCGUGCCUAAUACAUGCAAGUCGAGCGAACGGACGAGAAGCUUGCUUCUCUGACGUUAGCGGCGGACGGGUGAGUAACACGUGGAUAACCUACCUAUAAGACUGGGAUAACUUCGGGAAACCGGAGCUAAUACCGGAUAAUAUUUUGAACCGCAUGGUUCAAAAGUGAAAGACGGUCUUGCUGUCACUUAUAGAUGGAUCCGCGCUGCAUUAGCUAGUUGGUAAGGUAACGGCUUACCAAGGCAACGAUGCAUAGCCGACCUGAGAGGGUGAUAGGCCACACUGGAACUGAGACACGGUCCAGACUCCUACGGGAGGCAGCAGUAGGGAAUCUUCCGCAAUGGGCGAAAGCCUGACGGAGCAACGCCGCGUGAGUGAUGAAGGUCUUCGGAUCGUAAAACUCUGUUAUUAGGGAAGAACAUAUGUGUAAGUAACUGUGCACAUCUUGACGGUACCUAAUCAGAAAGCCACGGCUAACUACGUG